UUCCAGACUCCUAGGGAGGCAGCAGUGAGGAAUAUUGGUCAAUGGGCGGAAGCCUGAACCAGCCAAGUCGCGUGAGGGAUUAAGGCCCUAUGGGUCGUAAACCUCUUUUGUCAGGGAGCAAGGUCGUCCACGUGUGGGCGUAUGGAGAGUACCUGAAGAAAAAGCAUCGGCUAACUCCGUGCCAGCAGCCGCGGUAAUACGGAGGAUGCGAGCGUUAUCCGGAUUUAUUGGGUUUAAAGGGUGCGUAGGCGGACGCUAAAGUAAGGGGAAAAAUUGGGGGGCUCAACCUCGUCGAGCCGUUGAAACUGGGUGCCUUGAGUGGGCGAGAAGUACGCGGAAUGCGUGGUGUAGCGGUGAAAUGCAUAGAUAUCACGCAGAACUCCGAUUGCGAAGGCAGCGUACCGGCGCCCAACUGACGCUGAAGCACGAAGGCGUGGGUAUCGAACAGGAUUAGAUACCCCAGUA
rnacentral:rRNA from 1 species